AGUCAGAGCGAAACAGGCUACGCGCGAGCAGCGGUGAUAAAGUGGGCACGGAGAAGCGACGAGGGAAGCGUAAAAGUGGUGCCACCAUCCUCCCACGCUCACUUACCCGCGUGCAUGUGUUCCACGGUGGAGGAGGAGCGCAUCACGUACACCUAUACAUUAUCUAGCACCCAUUUUGGUGGCAUCAUGACUUGGUUUGCCCGAGUUUACGGGGCUGCUCCAUCACGCGAGUGCUUAGCUUAUCUCAAUGCGACACAACGUAUCUGAGGCUCCCGUCUCCCCGAGAGAAACCAGCGACAGGUGGCAGCCAUGCCAACGGUCAUACGAUCUAUUGGGUUUAGAAAAUUCAAGACCAACCCGACCAUUUAUUCGAUUGUCUCGAGAGGAACACGCAACGGUGAUCGUCGUUCUACGCCGACAUUCGAUAUUACGCCAUCGAAAAUUAAUUCAAUAAUUUCGUACCGAUUACGUCACCGACCUUUCUCUCAAGAUACGCAUAGGAAGAAUUUUUCUCAAGUUUCAUCGCAGUGCGAAUCAGCGAAUUGAUUAAUCGAAGGGUAUAAUGUGGUGGUAUGAAUAGAAAUUUGUCACUUGCCGUCUUUUUCCUCGAUUCCUCUUCCCCGAUUUCGUUAUCGAGCUCGGAGGGGAGAGAUCAUCCAUUGAGGGGGACAAAAGGAUAAAAGGGAGUGCGAUUGUGCUGGGUAAUUUAACGAAGUGUCGGGUGAGAUGGUGGGAUUCGUUGAUCGAGGAAUUGCGAUGCGUGGCCACCGUAAUGAAAGGAGGGAUAGUGAGGGGACAGAAAGAUGUUUCUCCUGAAACGGAAAGCGAAUGAGAAUCAUAUAUUCGAUGAAUCAUAGGAAGAAAAUACGGCAAAUCCUGUUCAAAUUCGAGGAAACGUUUCGCGAGGAUCGGUAACGGAGCUAGAUACGUGGGAACGACCAUCGACGAGUCGAGUCUAGUUGGGUAACCCUCUCGUCCCCCUUCGACGAAGAAAACAAAACGACUUGGGUGAAAGAAGGUACGUGGAUGCUUGCGAGGGCACGGAGGUGGAGAUGAUACUAGACGAGGAGACAGGGAGGGUGAACGUGGAGGAGCUGAACACCCUGGGGAGCCGGCAGCUCGUUACGCGAGACGUGGUACGCCUCUCCUUUCCUCCCUUCUGUACACCCUCUUCCCUCUCCCCCCUCUUCCGCCGCUCUAUUCUCCUUUUCUCUCCGCUCCCUUCCCCGUGAUUCUCUCCUCAAACCUUGAUCCUUUUGCACAUCUAUCUCUACGCUCCUCCCUCGCCCCACGUUUUCAAGGUAGCGCCACUCUGAAUAAUGUCCCACGUACACGUUUGUGUCUUCCCUCUCUCUAUAUAUACGCACGUAUCGCUACUCAGUAACAAGUGGAUAUUAUGCUGGCGCGGCUGACGCUGCCUCCCUGAACUUUGCUUUGAAGCAAGGGAUACCGAUGAGAAGAUACGGAAGGUACAGCUUGUUCGAAUUGGUUUCCAAGAGCUUCCAAUUGCGCGUACAAUCUCUCUUCUGAUUGAUUAUCGUUCAUCAUAUAAUACGUCAAGUAGAGUUUACACGUGGUAUAAAAAUUUUGUGGAGUUUCAAGUAUGGUCGUAUGGAAAAAAUUCUCGAGGCUGAAUGAACGAAUGUCUUUAUGAAAGUUAGGGCAUAGAGUUACAUAGAUGUUUCAAACUUCUUCCACGUGAUAAACAAUCCGAAUGCAAAAGUUUAUCGAACAAAGAGGAACGAUAACAAUUUGAGAGAUAUUUCACCCUUAACAUUUCCCUCCUCCUCCUCCUCCUUCCCAUCAACAUUAAUUUACUACCAGUUUAUCCUGAAACUUGUUGUGUACUGUCUUUACGUUUCAGAAUAAGUUAACCGUUCGUUGUCAGAACUUUUCGCAUAAGCGUAAUCAAGUUGCGUUUCGAAACGAGAUAAAUCCACGCAGCUUGUAACGAUCAAUUAAAUAAUUUCAAUUAUUAUAAAUCAAUCAUACUUUAUCGAUGUCCGACCUAUCCGUAUAAAUUAUUAAAUUCUUUAUCGAAUGCGUAAA